rnacentral:lncRNA from 1 species
UAAAGCUCUUGUGGUAGAAAACACCUUAGAGUCACAACAGCUGCAAACAGAAUGUGAUUUCAGUUUCUCUGGUGGUAAGAUGCUACUAGGAAAAGGCCCAUUUUGCUGGAUUUAGAAGAGCCUGAAUUUGCUGAUGGAACCUGCUUCCAAAGGACCAAGCUCACUAAAAUAACAUUUGAUAGAAGGAGACGGAUAUUCUUCAUUGAAUCCAGCUUUUAACUGGCUCCUGUCAAGAGACAUUUGGAUUGACAGCACAGUGGGAAAUACCUG